AUUGAACGCUGGCGGCGUGCCUAACACAUGCAAGUCGAGCGGUAACAGGUGUAGCAAUACAUGCUGACGAGCGGCGGACGGGUGAGUAACGCUUGGGAAUCUGCCUAUUAGUGGGGGACAACCCGGGGAAACUCGGGCUAAUACCGCAUACGCUCUACGGAGGAAAGCCGGGACCGCAAGGCCUGGCGCUAAUAGAUGAGCCCAAGUCGGAUUAGCUAGUUGGUAGGGAAUGGCCUACCAAGGCGACGAUCCGUAACUGGUCUGAGAGGACGACCAGGUCACACCGGAACUGAGACACGGUCCGGACUCCUACGGGAGGCAGCAGUGGGGAAUAUUGGACAAUGGGCAAAGCCUG
rnacentral:rRNA from 1 species